UACGAAGGGUGCAAGCGUUACUCGGAAUUACUGGGCGUAAGCGUGCGUAGGUGGUGAGUUAAGUCUGAUGUGAAAUCCCCGGGCUCAACCUGGGAAUGGCAUUGGAUACUGGCUCGCUAGAGUGCGGUAGAGGGUGGUGGAAUUCCCGGUGUAGCAGUGAAAUGCGUAGAGAUCGGGAGGAACAUCUGUGGCGAAGGCGGCCACCUGGACCAACACUGACACUGAGGCACGAAAGCGUGGGAGCAAACAGG
rnacentral:rRNA from 1 species